AUCUAUCUAUUGUCUAUUGUAUCUAUUAUCUAUUACUAUUUAUUAUCUAUUACUUUUGUAUAUAAUUACUAAUAAAUUUUUAUUUUUGGGAAAAAGCUAGAAGCUGCCAAGUAUUUAGGUUUUAGGAGUGUUUAGAUUUUUCUUUGCUUAGGAUUAGGUUUCUUCACACUUUUCCUUAGGUUUAGGAUUAAUUCUUUAUGUUUUUCUUUCUUUAGGAUUGUGCCUUUACUUUGUUUAGGUAUCCAACAACCUUAUGGAAGAAGCAAGCAGUUAGCAUUGUCCGUACGCAAAACAAUUUGAAAGAUUUCAGAUUUUCGUAUGAUCCUGAUCUGCAGCUUUUUGAUGCUUCUCAGAAGUUCAACAUGAAUGGGUGCACAACAAUCACCGGAGAGAUGGUUCACUAAUAGACCGAGGGAUAAGUCAUUCAACUCCCGCAAUAUUCCUUAUGAAUGGGUGUACAGUGACGAAUUCAAAAAAUAUUAAAAUGUUAUAUUUCGGAUUUUAACCUGUGAUCUAAAAUAAUUUUUGAAACCGUUGGUUCUAUACUAAAAUCUUCUCUUAUGUUAAGGGAUUCAACAGUUGAUAUAUAACUAAAAAAAAUUUGUUUUUA